rnacentral:rRNA from 1 species
AGUCUGUUCGACUUUUAAAAAAUUACAUGAUUUGAGUUCAGACCGGUGUAAGCCAGGUCGGUUUCCAUCUUCUAAAUAGUUUUUUACAGUACGAAAGGACCUAUUAAUAAAAUAUAAUU